rnacentral:rRNA from 1 species
ACCCUGCGACUUGGGAGCAGCCGUAGUAGAUAACUACGUGUGGUAAGGUACAUGCGCGAAAAGGCGAUGAUCUAUAGCUGGUUUGAGAGGAUGAUCAGCCGGGGCCGCACUCUGGUCUAAUCUAGACUCCUACGGGAGGCGGUGUUGAUUAAUUUUCCGCAAUGGGCGCAAGCCUGACGGAGCGACGCCGCGUGCAGGAUGAAGGUCUUCGGAUUGUAAACUGCUUUUGUGAAUCACUGGCCCUCUGUGCAUUUACGAAUAAGGAUCUAGCUAACUACGUGCCAGCAGCCCUCAACCGAGGUAGGAUCCAAGCGUUAUCCGGGGUUACUGGGCGUAAAGAGUUGCGUAGGCGGUUAUUUAAGCAAUCUAUGAAAGCGUGUGGCUUAACCAUACAAGUGUAGAUUGAACUGAAUAACUAGAGUCUAGAAGAGGUCACUGGAAUUUCUGGUGGAGGAGUGAAUUUCGUAGAUAUCAGAAGGAUUAGAUACCCCGUAGGCAGGUGACUGGUCUAGAACUGACGCUAAGGCACGAAAGCGUGGGGAGCGAACGGGAUUAGAUACUAGGGGGCAACACGCCGUAAACGAUGGAUGCCCCUCGUAUGGAUGAAGGCCCCCCUGUGUAGUGUCGCUAACGCUUUAAGCAUCCCGCCUGUGGAGUACGAGCGCAAGCUUAAAACAUAAUGUUACGGGAAACCACCUGCACAAGCGGUGGAGCGUGUUGUUUAAUUCGAGUGAGAUGUUCGAACCUU